CUCUUCAUUUCUAUCCUAUUGUUGUGGUCAUUGUUCUCCAAUGGCAUAUCGAAAGCAAUUCACCCAAAGGAAGAAGAAGUUUCAUGCAAAAAUACAAGAAAGAAGGACCAAACUUCAAAAUAGUCAUAAGCAAAAAAAUAGAUUUUGAGUUAAUGAAGUAAGAAAAAAUUAUAAUUGAUCAAAAAAUUAAGAGAAAGAGUUAGAAGUCUAGUUUUCA
rnacentral:lncRNA from 1 species